rnacentral:rRNA from 1 species
GAUGAACGCUGGCGGCGUGCUUAACACAUGCAAGUCGAACGGAAAGGCCCAAGCUUGUUUGGGUACUCGAGUGGCGAACGGGUGAGUAACACGUGGGUGAUCUGCCCUGCACUUCGGGAUAAGCCUGGGAAACUGGGUCUCAUACCGGCUAGGACCACUUCUUGGAUGUUGUGGUGGAAAGUUUUCUCGGUGUGGGAUGAGCUCGCGGCCUAUCAGCUUGUUGGUGGGGUAAUGGCCUACCAAGGCGUCGACGGGUAGCCGGCCUGUGAGGGGGGACGGCGACAUGGCAGCUGGGAAACGGGCCAGGGUCCUGCGGGAGGCGGCAGGGAGGAAUGUGGCACAUUGGGCGAAGGCCGGAUGCAGCGUGGCGGCGUGGGGGGUGAAGGCCGUCGGGUUUUGAGUUCCUAUCGGUAGUUACGAGGCGUGUUUGUGACGGUACCUGAAGAAGAAGCACCGGCUAACUACGUG